rnacentral:rRNA from 1 species
GGACUACUAGGGUUUCUAAUCCUGUUUGCUCCCCUAGCUUUCGUGCCUCAGUGUCAGGAGUUGUCCAGGGACUCGCCUUCGCCACUGGUGUUCCUCUCGAUAUCUACGCAUUUCACUGCUACACCGAGAAUUCCAGUCCCCCCUCCAAUCCUCUAGCCAGGCAGUUUCCAAUGCCAUUUCGGAGUUGAGCUCCGAGCUUUCACAUCCGACUUACCUAGCCACCUACGCACCCUUUACGCCCAGUGAAUCCGAACAACGCUUGGGACCUCUGUAUUACCGCGGCUGCUGGCAC